rnacentral:rRNA from 1 species
CGCCUUAUACAUGCAAGUCGAACGAAGUAGCAAUACUUAGUGGCAGACGGGUGAGUAACAUGUAGGUAUCUUCCCUUUGGUGAGGAAUAACACGAGGAAACUUGUGCUAAUACCUCAUAAGUCUUUAUGGAGAAAGCUUUAUGCGCCGAAGGAUGAGCCUGCACUUGAUUAGUUUGUUGGUGGGGUAAUGGCCUACCAAGACUUUGAUCUAUAGCUGAUCUGAGAGGAUGAUCAGCCACAUUGGGACUGAGACACGGCCCAAACUCCUACGGGAGGCAGCAGUAGGGAAUAUUGCACAAUGGAGGAAACUCUGAUGCAGCGAUGCCGCGUGAGUGAAGAAGGCCUUUGGGUUGUAAAGCUCUUUCGUCGGGGAAGAAAAUGACUGUACCCGAAUAAGAAGGUCCGGCUAACUUCGUGCCAGCAGCCGCGGUAAUACGAAGGGACCUAGCGUAGUUCGGAAUUACUGGGCUUAAAGAGUUCGUAGGUGGUUAAAAAAGUUGGUGGUGAAAUCCCAGAGCUUAACUCUGGAACUGCCAUCAAAACUUUUUAGCUAGAGUAUGAUAGAGGAAAGCAGAAUUUCUAGUGUAGAGGUGAAAUUCGUAGAUAUUAGAAAGAAUACCAAUUGCGAAGGCAGCUUUCUGGAUCAUUACUGACGCUGAGGAACGAAAGCAUGGGUAGCGAAGAGGAUUAGAUACCCUCGUAGUCCAUGCCGUAAACGAUGUGUGUUAGACGUUGGAAAUUUAUUUUCAGUGUCGCAGCGAAAGCAUUAAACACACCGCCUGGGGAG